AACGAACGCUGGCGGCAUGCCUAACACAUGCAAGUCGAACGAGAGCUUCGGGUCUAGUGGCGCACUGGUGCGCGACACGGGGGAAUCUGCCCUGUGCUUCGGAAUGACAGGUAGGAAUAAGUGCGAAUACCGGAGGAUGUCGAAAGACCAAAGAUUUAUCGGCAAAGGAUGAGCCUGCGUAGGCUUAGGUAGAUGGUGGGGUAUAGCCCUACCAAGCCGACGAUCCUUAGCUGGUCUGAAAGGAUGAUCAGCCACACUGGGCCUGAGGCACGGCCCAGACUCCUACGGGAGGCAGCGGUGGGGUAUACUGGACAAGGGGCGAGAGCGUAAUACAGCAACGCCGCGUGAAUCAUUAAGGCCUUAGGGUUGUAGAGCUAUUUUAACAGGGAUGAUAAUGACAGUACCUGGAGAAUAAGAUCCGGCUAACUCCGUG
rnacentral:rRNA from 1 species